UCAUCAAACCGCCCCCCAGCCUCCACCCCACGUAGCCCUCACGUAGCCCUCACCUCGCCCACUCGCACUACUUCUUUCAGUGACCCGAGCCACCAUUAUCCUUCCCAGCGCUGCAUUUACGCUGCACUGGGGUCAAAUUACAUGAGCGAAGGAUGAACAUUUUAGAAAAAACUUAGUAACUACCCAUUUCCUACAAUGAAAGGACAUUCAAAGCUCACCUUGACCUCUUCCCAGGACCCCGCGGCCGGGGUCAGCAGACAGGCCGGCCCGAGGCUGCCCAGGACCCGGUCCCACAGAUGCUUCCCCUUGGGGCCCGAAUCCCCUGUGGCCUCCCUCCUGUCCACCCCCAGGCUGGCUCCCCCCUCCCCCGGCCCUCCUGCCGGGAUUUCUGGGCCAAGGGUCAGCCAAGGGCAGGGUGGGGUGUGCGGGGUCGGGAGCUACUCCACUCAUGCCAGCUGCUCCCACCACCCCCUGACUCCCUCCCUGGGGNUGGGCAGAGGGGGUUGGAGGGCCCUGCUGCCCAGAGGGAGCCCAGGGCCCCUCCCAGGCCGCCGGCGCCCGCCCCGCUGGUUCUGGGACCUCCGCCCUGAGCUUGCCACGCUGUGCCUGCUUCCUGCCAGGCCUCCUGCCAGCCGGCUGGGCGGGGACAACAGAACGUCCCUCUCGGGGUGGGCUGCAGGUCCGCGAGGCAGCCCCGCCUCCUGCUUCUGUGUCUCACUUCACAGCACCUUGCCCCACCUGGAGGAAAAGUUUCAGUGAGUCCAGGAAUUGUUUUGCAAUGAGGUAGAGGAGCAGCUGAGCUUUCCGGGCAGGCUGGGACACACCCAGGAAGGCCGCAGGGCCUGUGGAAGGCUGUCUCAGCGAGACUCUACUCCAAGGCCCCGGAAGGCCUUGCGGAAAUGCCCCGGCCAGCAUUACAACAUUACGCAUUACAGCAUUACAGCAGAGUAACAAAAACCCAGGAGGCAAGCCCACAUCCCCGCCCCUCUCGGGCACAGCUGGGCUCUCCUCGCCUGUUGUUACCUCCUUGGCUGUGCUGCAGAAAUGAACGUCAAGAGCACGCAGGGUGAGUUAGGCCAGUGAUUUAUUCAGUAGGGAGGGAAGAGAAAUGGAAGAAAAUACUAGAGCAGGGGUCCCAGGUAGAGACGAAGGGGGUGAAAAGGGAUGAAGAGGGCUGAUGUACAGACUACAACUCCGCAUUACAGAUCAUGAAUUCCCAGGGUUACUUGCGAGGCCACAUGGCAGAGGAAACUUGGCGAGAGCGGCAGGCAAGGACAGGGGCGAGUGCAGAGGCAGGAGAGCCGGGCGAGGGCGCGCUCGGGCCUGGGCCUGGCUCUCCAGCUGCUCAUUGCUCCCCCUGUGCUAAGGGCAGGGGAGGCUCCCGCUGCUCACUGUCUUGACUGAUCACCCACCCGUCACUCCCGCAGCCAGGGCCCACGAUGAAGUCCCUAGGGAGCACCCGGGCUUUUCCUGGCUCCCAGGAGGAAGUCUGGGUUCUGGGGAGCAGAAUCCCGGGGGCGGGGGUCCUCAGCAGCCAUCUUGGGGGCUCCAGAUGUCCCCAUGGACUCUGCCGGGUUCCAGAUCCGCCUGUUCGCUGUCUUGCUGGCUGCUUCAUCCCCCUCACAGAGCUCUACGCCUGUAACCUCACAGCGGCGCAGAGGGAGGGUGACCUUUCUUCUGUAGCUGCUUCCCGCUGGCUAGGGGCUCGAGACCCUGCCUGAAAGGCGCAGAGCUCCUUGCUGCUCUACCUCGCCUGGAGGAAGAGGGACCUGGCAUCCGGUAGGAAGCUGGGGGAAGCCCCCGUGUGGCUCACAAGAUGCUGGUCCUGGAAGAAAUCAGUUCAAUUAGAAUUUUGAGAAUACACGUCUCCACUAAGAGGACACGGGCCACAGGCGUAGAAAAGGCCAGGGGUCUAUAAAGGCCGCAUUUCCUUGACAUCGGUGGUUUAUUUUGCAGGUUUUGAACACUGUCUAGGACUGUUUUAGAGUUACUUACAUAGAGAUGACAUUUUUCCUUAAGGAGAGGACAUUCCCUUCCCUGGGCUGCAGUCAGCACGUCAAGGGCCUGCGACUUGGUGUCAGCACAGCACCAGAGUCUGCUUGCUGUUCCAGCGCUCCUGAGGCGCGGCUGGUUUCAUCUGUGCUGCUAGUUCUUUCCAGGGAGCAGUUGAAAUAGACAGUGGGGUUUGGUAGAGAUUGCCAGCCCAGUGUUCAAUGGUGCUGGUGAUGCUUACAGCAGCUUAGAGGGGGAUGAGAAGGGACAUUGGCUUUUAAAAAGGAAACAGACAAGGGUUUUUUAAAAGGCGACGUUUGGUUUGUUCUCCCUCUAGCAAUAGGCAUUUGGGCUAGAGUUAGAGGGAACAGCUGACUUUGACAC
ensembl:lincRNA